UACGGGGGGAGCAAGCGUUGUUCGGAUUUACUGGGCGUAAAGGGCGCGUAGGCGGCGUGACUAGUCACUUGUGAAAUCUCCGGGCUUAACUCGGAACGGUCAAGUGAUACUGUCGUGCUGGAGUACAGAAGGGGCAACUGGAAUUCUCGGUGUAGCGGUGAAAUGCGUAGAUAUCGAGAGGAACACCUGCGGCGAAGGCGGGUUGCUGGGCUGAUACUGACGCUGAGACGCGAAAGCGUGGGGAGCAAACAGG
rnacentral:rRNA from 1 species